AAAAGUUGUUUUAGACGUCGGCCCCCUAGAUCUGACGUCUAUAUAUACCGCGAAUAUUAAUUUUUAAUUCGAAUGGACGUCUUAUUAGUGAAGUCACCGACGUCUAGACCACGAAUAAAUGUCGGACAUUGGGGGAGUCGACAUCUUGUUUCUUGUUAAAUCAGAAACCGCGAACUCGCGGUUAUGCACACUUCAUCGUCUUCCACCUCGCCUUUUCUCUCCGCG
rnacentral:lncRNA from 1 species